UCACGGUGCCAACCCACACUGAAAAAACGAACUUGGUGGUGUAGUAAAAUAUACUAAUUAAACUGUCCUAAUGUCUACAAUUAAAUUUUUCGUUUCUGCGGGAACUAGAUUUUGUCAAGUAAAAUUUCAUGUAUGUACACAAUUUAUUUAUGUAUUUAAAAUGGCUGUGUGGAAGGAGUAAGUCUUAUUAUGGAUGUUUUCAUAACAUUUAAAUGUUUUUUAGUCUCUGCUAGAAACACUAAAAUACUGAGUAAAUUUUACGACACUAUUUUAGAGUGCGUUUGAAUCAGCGCAUGCGCAUUGGGACAAACGAAAGUACCGCGCGGAUGUCCAUUGUCCGUCCGUUCGUUGGCAGCAGACAGAGUUGUGAAUAUCUCCGGAAUCUCUCAGGCGACUGUUUUUGUAUUUAGCCGGCUGGGACAUGAGGUGACCAGAGAGUCAGGAGCGCUGGGAUGUUCAGUGACUAAUCAAAUACUGCACCGUUGUGAUUAGGCAAGUACAAAUACACUGCAUGUAUGCAUGACACAAUAUUGCUGUUUCUCACUCUCUGUAACAUACUUCUCCUUUCCACACAUGGAAACAAACCACUGCUCCUUGCAAGUAUUCGUAUCUUCUGACAUGAUAGUAUAUUGUGUACAAAUUAUUGUUUGCAACUGAUGCUAUUACUCCUUUCACAGAACCCAAGCACUGACAUGUGACGUGACGCAGUUAUCAGUGGCCUCAUACUAUUCCUUGGUGAAAAAGAAGAGAAACUUUUCGAAGAUUGCCUGGAGGACAAUCGCAGUGAUGCCACUCAACACAUAGUCAAGAUCCUGGUUGUCCAUGGUACUGAUGGAGAAGAACCAGUAGAUGUUUCCAUCAUUCUUGAAGGGAAGGAGGUAUUGACAUGAUGCAACAGCACAGCCAAAGCUUGCACGUUGCUAAUGGGACUGAUUUAUUCCCUGAACCUUGCCUACCCCUCGACUCUGCGCUACACCUUUGAGGUGUUUCAAAAACUUUUCCUGGAACUGAAUGGGAUAAAGCUGUCACCAAAAGUACAUCUUUAAAGUUGAAGUUGCUGUCUGAAAGGAGUUUUCUUUCUUAAAUGUUCCUAAUGUUGUCAACAAAGGCAACUGCUGUCAUUCAUGCUCACAAGGUAAAAAAAAAGUUAAAAAUAACCUUUGUUUUAAAGGUUUUAACAGAGGAUUUGAUGUUGUCCUCAAACUUUAAUGUUUUAACCGAAUGCUAAUAUAAAUAUGUUAAUGGAUGUUGUUGUUUAGAAUGUUGUUCAUGUCAGUACAGCAUAUUUUGUCAGGUCAAACCCUCAAUCUGUUUUGUCACCUGAUGUGCCCUGUUUAGUUUAAUGCGUCCAGGAGUCAAAAACAUUUUGAUUUUCCAGUGAUAUGCUUUUUUUCUGUAAAGCGUAAUGAUCACUCAGUAAAGGUAAACUUUUUUCUUUAUUGAUGCUUGAUUGAUGCUUUAUUGAUUUACUGCUGCUGAGAUUUCAUUUAAUUUUUUGUCAUGUGAAAUGUUGACUGCUGUUUCAUGUACAGUUCUACAUAGCUGUAUAAAAUGAGGUGUUACGUAAGGUACCUGACAAAGGUUUAUGAAUAAAUAAUGGAAUUGUA